rnacentral:misc_RNA from 1 species
ACACCUCAACUCUCAUGGUUUGCCAUGACGAGCUUGGACUUUGGGGGUCUUGCCGGCCUAUGGUCGGCUCCUCUCAAACGGAUCAGCUUGCCAGUGUUUGGUGGCAUCACAGGUGUGAUAACUAUCUACGCUUGUGUUUUUCCGCCGGGUAACCUUCAGUCGUGGAGGUUCGCUGGAGCUCACAAACGUCUCUCCUCAGCGAGGGACAGCCUUUGAAC